rnacentral:rRNA from 1 species
UGGGGAAUAUUGCACAAUGGGCGCAAGCCUGAUGCAGCCAUGCCGCGUGUGUGAAGAAGGCCUUCGGGUUGUAAAGCACUUUCAGCGAGGAGGAAGGUGGUGAACUUAAUACGUUCAUCAAUUGACGUUACUCGCAGAAGAAGCACCGGCUAACUCCGUGCCAGCAGCCGCGGUAAUACGGAGGGUGCAAGCGUUAAUCGGAAUUACUGGGCGUAAAGCGCACGCAGGCGGUUUGUUAAGUCAGAUGUGAAAUCCCCGGGCUCAACCUGGGAACUGCAUUUGAAACUGGCAAGCUAGAGUCUCGUAGAGGGGGGUAGAAUUCCAGGUGUAGCGGUGAAAUGCGUAGAGAUCUGGAGGAAUACCGGUGGCGAAGGCGGCCCCCCUGGACGAAGACUGACGCUCAGGCUGCGAAAGCGUGGGGCAGCAAACAGGAUUAGAUACCCUGGUAGUCCACGCUGUAAACGAUGUCGAUUUGGAGGUUGUGCCCUUGAGGCGUGGCUUCCGGAGCUAACGCGUUAAAUCGACCGCCU